rnacentral:rRNA from 1 species
UACGAAGGGAGCUAGCGUUGUUCGGAAUCACUGGGCGUAAAGCGCACGUAGGCGGAUGUGCCAGUCAGGGGUGAAAUCCCGGAGCUCAACUCCGGAACUGCCUCUGAUACAGCACGUCUUGAGUCCGGAAGAGGUGGGUGGAAUUCCUAGUGUAGAGGUGAAAUUCGUAGAUAUUAGGAAGAACACCGGUGGCGAAGGCGGCUCACUGGCCCGGUACUGACGGCUGAGGCACGAAAGCGUGGGGAGCAAACAGG